rnacentral:tRNA from 1 species
GCGGGGAUGGCGGAAUGGUAGACGCAUACGUUUGAGGGGCGUAUGGGGCAACCCGUGUGAGUUCGAGUCUCAUUUCCCGCACCA